GGGUUGUGAGGUUAAGCGACUAAGCGUACACGGUGGAUGCCCUGGCAGUCAGAGGCGAUGAAGGACGUGCUAAUCUGCGUAAAGCGUCGGUAAGGUGAUAUGAACCGCUACAGCCGACGAUGUCCGAAUGGGGAAACCCGGUGCACUCUGUGCAUCAUCGCAACAUGAAUACAUAGUGUUGCGAGGCGAACCUGGGGAACUGAAACAUCUAAGUACCCAGAGGAAAAGAAAUCAACCGAGAUUCCCCCAGUAGCGGCGAGCGAACGGGGAGCAGCCCAGAACCUGAAUCAGUUUGUGCAUUAGUGGAAGCGUCUGGAAAGUCGCAGGGUACAGGGUGAUACUCCCGUACACAAAAAUGCACAUCCUGUGAGUUCGAAGAGUAGGGCGGGACACGUGGUAUCCUGUCUGAAUAUGGGGGGACCAUCCUCCAAGGCUAAAUACUCCUGACUGACCGAUAGUGAACCAGUACCGUGAGGGAAAGGCGAAAAGAACCCCGGCGAGGGGAGUGAAACAGAACCUGAAACCGUGUACGUACAAGCAGUGGGAGCCUGAUUUGUCAGGUGACUGCGUACCUUUUGUAUAAUGGGUCAGCGACUUAUAUUCUGUAGCAAGGUUAACCGUAUAGGGGAGCCGCAGGGAAACCGAGUCUUAACUGGGCGUUAAGUUGCAGGGUAUAGACCCGAAACCCGGUGAUCUAGCCAUGGGCAGGUUGAAGGUUGGGUAACACUAACUGGAGGACCGAACCGACUAAUGUUGAAAAAUUAGCGGAUGACUUGUGGCUGGGGGUGAAAGGCCAAUCAAACCGGGAGAUAGCUGGUUCUCCCCGAAAGCUAUUUAGGUAGCGCCUCGUGAACUCAUCUUCGGGGGUAGAGCACUGUUUCGGCUAGGGGGCCAUCCCGGCUUACCAACCCGAUGCAAACUGCGAAUACCGAAGAAUGUUAUCACGGGAGACACACGGCGGGUGCUAACGUCCGUCGUGAAGAGGGAAACAACCCAGACCGCCAGCUAAGGUCCCAAAGUCAUGGUUAAGUGGGAAACGAUGUGGGAAGGCACAGACAGCCAGGAUGUUGGCUUAGAAGCAGCCAUCAUUUAAAGAAAGCGUAAUAGCUCACUGGUCGAGUCGGCCUGCGCGGAAGAUGUAACGGGGCUAAACCAUGCACCGAAGCUGCGGCAGCGACACUAUGUGUUGUUGGGUAGGGGAGCGUUCUGUAAGCCGUUGAAGGUGAACUGUGAGGUUUGCUGGAGGUAUCAGAAGUGCGAAUGCUGACAUAAGUAACGAUAAAGCGGGUGAAAAGCCCGCUCGCCGGAAGACCAAGGGUUCCUGUUCAACGUUAAUCGGAGCAGGGUGAGUCGACCCCUAAGGCGAGGCUGAAAAGCGUAGUCGAUGGGAAGCAGGUUAAUAUUCCUGCACUUGGUGUUACUGCGAAGGGGGGACGGAGAAGGCUAGGUUAUCCGGGCGACGGUUGUCCCGGUUUAAGCAUGUAGGCGGAGAGUUUAGGUAAAUCCGGACUCUUUUUAACGCUGAGGUGUGAUGACGAGCCACUACGGUGGUGAAGUAACUGAUGCCCUGCUUCCAGGAAAAGCCUCUAAGCUCCAGGUAACACGAAAUCGUACCCCAAACCGACACAGGUGGUCAGGUAGAGAAUACCAAGGCGCUUGAGAGAACUCGGGUGAAGGAACUAGGCAAAAUGGUGCCGUAACUUCGGGAGAAGGCACGCUGUCAUGUAGGUGAAGGGACUUGCUCCCCGAGCUGAAGCCAGUCGAAGAUACCAGCUGGCUGCAACUGUUUAUUAAAAACACAGCACUGUGCAAACACGAAAGUGGACGUAUACGGUGUGACGCCUGCCCGGUGCCGGAAGGUUAAUUGAUGGGGUUAUCCGCAAGGAGAAGCUCUUGAUCGAAGCCCCGGUAAACGGCGGCCGUAACUAUAACGGUCCUAAGGUAGCGAAAUUCCUUGUCGGGUAAGUUCCGACCUGCACGAAUGGCGUAAUGAUGGCCAGGCUGUCUCCACCCGAGACUCAGUGAAAUUGAAAUCGCUGUGAAGAUGCAGUGUACCCGCGGCAAGACGGAAAGACCCCGUGAACCUUUACUAUAGCUUGACACUGAACAUUGAGCCUUGAUGUGUAGGAUAGGUGGGAGGCUUUGAAGCGUGGACGCCAGUCUGCGUGGAGCCAACCUUGAAAUACCACCCUUUAAUGUUUGAUGUUCUAACGUAGACCCGUAAUCCGGGUUGCGGACAGUGUCUGGUGGGUAGUUUGACUGGGGCGGUCUCCUCCCAAAGAGUAACGGAGGAGCACGAAGGUUGGCUAAUCCUGGUCGGACAUCAGGAGGUUAGUGCAAUGGCAUAAGCCAGCUUGACUGCGAGAGUGACGGCUCGAGCAGGUGCGAAAGCAGGUCAUAGUGAUCCGGUGGUUCUGAAUGGAAGGGCCAUCGCUCAACGGAUAAAAGGUACUCCGGGGAUAACAGGCUGAUACCGCCCAAGAGUUCAUAUCGACGGCGGUGUUUGGCACCUCGAUGUCGGCUCAUCACAUCCUGGGGCUGAAGUAGGUCCCAAGGGUACGGCUGUUCGCCGUUUAAAGUGGUACGCGAGCUGGGUUUAGAACGUCGUGAGACAGUUCGGUCCCUAUCUGCCGUGGGCGCUGGAGAAUUGAGGGGGGUUGCUCCUAGUACGAGAGGACCGGAGUGAACGCACCACUGGUGUUCGGGUUGUCAUGCCAAUGGCAUUGCCCGGUAGCUAAGUGCGGAAAAGAUAAGUGCUGAAAGCAUCUAAGCACGAAACUUGCCCCGAGAUGAGUUCUCCCUGACUCCCUGAGAGUCCUGAAGGGACGUUGAAGACGACGACGUUGAUAGGCCGGAUGUGUAAGUGCAGCGAUGCAUUGAGCUAACCGGUACUAAUGACCCGUGAGGCUUAACCUUACAACGCCAGAGGCGUUU
rnacentral:rRNA from 1 species